GACGAACCGUGCGAACGUUAUUCGGAAUCACUGGGCUUAAAGCGCGUGUAGGCGGACGGGGACGUCGGUCGCUGAAAUCCCCCGGCUCAACCGGGGAACGGGCGCCGAAACGCCCCGUCUCGAGGGACGUAGGGGGACCUGGAACUUCCGGUGGAGCGGUGAAAUGCGUUGGGAUCGGAAGGAACGCCCGUGGCGAAAGCGAGGUCCUCGGACGUCGUACUGACGCUGAGACGCGAAAGCUAGGGGAGCGAACGGG
rnacentral:rRNA from 1 species